rnacentral:rRNA from 1 species
UACGGGGGGGGCAAGCGUUGUUCGGAAUUACUGGGCGUAAAGGGCUCGUAGGUGGCCAACUAAGUCAGACGUGAAAUCCCUCAGCUUAACUGGGGAACUGCGUCUGAUACUGGAUGGCUUGAGUUUGGGAGAGGGAUGCGGAAUUCCAGGUGUAGCGGUGAAAUGCGUAGAUAUCUGGAGGAACACCGGUGGCGAAGGCGGCAUCCUGGACCAACACUGACACUGAUGAGCGAAAGCCAGGGGAGCAAACAGG